rnacentral:rRNA from 1 species
CCUUAUGUCUUGGGCUUCACGCAUGCUACAAUGGCCGGUACAAAGGGCUGCGAUACCGUAAGGUGGAGCGAAUCCCAAAAAGCCGGUCUCAGUUCGGAUUGAGGUCUGCAACUCGACCUCAUGAAGUCGGAGUCGCUAGUAAUCGCAGAUCAGCAACGCUGCGGUGAAUACGUUCCC